CGUGUAGGCGGUCCGCUAAGUCUGAUGUGAAAGCCCGGGGCUUACCCCCGGAAGGGCAUUGGAAACUGGCGAACUCGAGUCCCGGAGAGGAAGGUGGAAUUCCUGGUGUAGCGGUGAAAUGCGUAGAUAUCAGGAGGAAUACCGGUGGCGAAGGCGGCCUUCUGGACGGUGACUGACGCUGAGACGCGAAAGCGUGGGGAGAAC
rnacentral:rRNA from 1 species